AUUGAACGCUGGCGGCAGGCCUAACACAUGCAAGUCGAGCGGCAGCGGGAAAGUAGCUUGCUACUUUUGCCGGCGAGCGGCGGACGGGUGAGUAAUGCCUGGGAAAUUGCCCAGUCGAGGGGGAUAACAGUUGGAAACGACUGCUAAUACCGCAUACGCCCUACGGGGGAAAGCAGGGGACCUUCGGGCCUUGCGCGAUUGGAUAUGCCCAGGUGGGAUUAGCUAGUUGGUGAGGUAAUGGCUCACCAAGGCGACGAUCCCUAGCUGGUCUGAGAGGAUGACCAGCCACACUGGAACUGGGACACGGUCCAGACUCCUACGGGAGGCAGCAGUGGGGAAUAUUGCACAAUGGGGGAAACCCUGAUGCAGCCAUGCCGCGUGUGUGAAGAAGGCCUUCGGGUUGUAAAGCACUUUCAGCGAGGAGGAAAGGUCAGUAGCUAAUACCUGCUGACUGUGACGUUACUCGCAGAAGAAGCACCGGCUAACUCCGUGCCAGCCGCCGCCGUAAUAC
rnacentral:rRNA from 1 species